GUGAGACUUGUGGACAGUCACAGCUAUGUUUAAAUCUUCGUUCUUCCCUUUAAAUGCUGAAGAGAUCAGCCCAGGUUAUUUAGUGUUUCUGAUCAGCAGUUUCCUUGGCUGUUAAAUAAGGUAACAAUAAUAGUUAUCUCCUGAUGCUGUUAUAAUGAAAUGCCGCAUUUGUUACAUUUUGGCCCAGUGUGGCUCUCAGCUAGGGUGAUUUUAGUCCCCAGGGGACACUUGGCAUGUCUAGAGAUAUUUUUUGGUUGUUACAGCUGGAGGUGAGAGGUGGUGAUGCUAUUGGCAUUUAGUGGGUAGAAAUCAGGAAUCCUCUUACAUGUCCUACCGUACACAGAACAGCUACCCCACCAAAGAAUUGUCUGGUCAAAAAUAUCACUGGUGCUGAGGUUGGAAAACUGAUUUAGGCAUUAAUAAGCACUUGAUAAAUGUAUGUGGUUGCUCUUAUUUAUCGACAAGCUGAUAAUGAAGAUCUUAGAUGAUGGGAUUCUGUAUGUGUGUUUUCAUUGGGCUUAACUUUAUUUUGUAUUAUUGUCUGUGAUUAAUAUGGAUUAGUUGACUAUGAAAAAAAUAAAAGUAACAUUUUCAACAUCAAUAUUAUAAACAACAACAACAACGGGUAAUAUUACUCCUGCAAGCCCCAUGAAGUAAGAGAUCAAAUCCCAUCUACAAAAGGCAGGACCUAGCACAUAAUAGGUGUUUGACAGAGCCUACUGAAUUGAAUUGAAAUGCACAAACACAUGCCAAUAAAGACAGAGGAAGCUAGCUUGUAUUACUAGCCGGAUUUUUGUUAGUGAGUUAAAAAAGUGAAUAGACUAAUUUGCAAUCAGUACAUUAUAAAUACGUAACUUUUGUUGCAAACAUCCUAUCUGGAAAUAUUUGUCAGAGAAACAUUUGUUUUCUAUGACAGGCUCUAGCCCAUUGCCACACCCAUGUACCAAACCAUCACAUAUGUAAUUUUUAAAGAUUAUAAAAGUUACAAUGACUCCAAAAAUAAACAUCUUGAAGGUAUAGUGGUUUUUUUUGUACUUAUAUCCCCUUAUUCUGCAGUUUGUAUUACUGUCUCUGGUUCAGUGCUACUUAAUUUCCUUUUUGAAUUGUCAGUCCCAGAAUAUCAAAAAAGAGACUGUUUGUCCUUAUCCUGGAGAGACCUUGAGAAAAAGUGUUAACUUGUGAAAAGUUUUGUGAGAUUAGGCAAUGCCUCUAAAGCCCCAGGUGCUUAUCUGAAAAAAAUGGGGGAUUAUAACACUUACACUAUAUGGUUGUUCAGACAAUCAAAAGAGACAAUAUUAUCUCAAAUGCAAUACACACCACUGGUACUCAGCGAGGUGUAGUAAUUUUUAUUCACUAUCUUUCAAAAAGAUGAUCACUUUGUAAAAUGCUCCAGUUUCACUCAGAAUCAAGUUUUCUUUUAGUCUUGUUGUGGGAAGCAAUAGUGAAUAUGUGCAUGAUUUGAUUUACUGAGAGGCACUAUGGUAUCACGGCAAGAGCUUUGAGUCUACAGCCACCAAAUAGCAAAGCCAAAUUUUAUCAGCGUUAUCAACCGGUGUUUCUCAUAUUUUUAUAUCCAUGACAUCGUUUAAAAGCAGAAAAUACUGUCACAGCCAACUAGUGUUAGUUGAAAUUUGAAAACAAUUUAAAUGCUACAGCCAAGUUGGUGUUGUGUUGUAACUCCUCUAUAAGCUCUUAUCUUUCCAAAUUGCCCAUAAUCCUCCCUAAUCCUACCUCAGACAUGUUUUUUGUGUUUCUCCUCAUGCAUCAUUGAGAAACACACUUUAAAUACUGCCAGAAUGCUUAGGUGGUCCCAAGGAAUUUUUUUUUUUUUACCCAGUUUCACAAGGUCAAUCAAACUCAUGGCUCCGUAAUUGAAUAAUCAAUCAAAUCAAAAACAAUUGAUCUACUCCAGGCAUGUCAGCAACAUAUUGAUUUACCCAUUGAGCUCUGUUCAAAUAUAAUGAAGGUGAUGAAAACCAUCAUUGCAUUGAGAAAUGGUCAAAUAAAGGACCCUGUGCAGCCAUUUUCUCUCUCUCCUCCUUAAUUAUUGCUGUUCUUUUAUAAAUUGAUUUUAGGGUUGUUAAUACAUAAAUCUAUAUAUACUUUGGCAUAGUGGGAAAAAGUUGGUUCAAAACUUCCUUUGGGCCACUUGUCUGUGUGAGCACAAACAUGUUUCUUCAUCACUAGUGUUUUUAUCCAUAAAACACAAAUCAUAUGAAGUCUCUUCAAUGAGAGGCUAAAAUGUGAUCAUGUGGGAACAACUGCGAGGCAAUAGUUAAUAGAAGUUUGGGGAUCAAAUGACAUUGACAUGAAUUCUAACUGUAAUUUUCUAGCUGUGAAACCUUAGGCAAUUGACUCAACUUGCUUGUAUCUUAGUUUCCUUACCUGUAAAAUUGCUAUGGAAACAGUAGCUAUCUCACAGGGCCUUUAUGCAUGAGAGUUAGUGAUAUGGUUAGGCUUUGUAUCCCCAUCCAAAUCUCAUCUUGAAUUGUAAUCCCUAUAAUCCUCACAUGUCAAGGGAGAGACCAGGUGGCAGCAAUUCAUUGAUGGAGCAGUUUCCACCAUGCUGUUCUCAUAAUAGUGAGCGAGUUCUCAGGAGUUCUUAUAGUUUUAUAACGGGUGCUUCCUGCUUCACUCAGCACUUUUCCUUCCUGUCGCCUUGUGAAGAAGUAAGUGCCUUGCUUCCCCUUCACCUUCUGCCAUGAUUCUAAGUUUCCUGAGGCCUCCCCAGUCAUGCUGAACCGUGACUCAAUUAAACCUCUUUCCUUUAUAAAUUACCCAGUCUUGGGCAGUUCAUUAUGGCAGUAUGAAAAUAAACUAACACAGUCAGGUUGAAAACCAACAGAGCAUUUACUUUGAAAGCACUCAGUAAAAAUUAGCUUUACUAUUCUUGUUUUUUGAAAUGCCGUUCAUUAGCUAUUUCUGCCUAUGUUUCCCAGACUUAUAGUUUCCAUUUUAUUUCACAAAUGCUGAGCUUUCAUGCUGUAUGAGAUGGUCACUGCUGGUUGUCCACCAAAAUCCAAUGUCCAAGCCUCCCUCAGUUAUAAAACUCCCCAGCAUUAGCUGGGCUUAUGGUUUCCAAAUUAUAGACCUCAUUUCUAAGUCUUCCCUGAAAAGAUAGAUCUGGUCAUUUGGGUAAGUGCUACCCAAUAGAUUGUAAGAUUUGCUACAAGUAACUCCCAAGAAAUAUCUAUAAGGAAAGGAAGUAUUUUUUUUUCUGUCUCCUUUCUCCUUUAGGUAAGAUAUAAUGUAAAUAUUUUUAAUAGAAUUGAAUGAUAAACUUGAAAAUAAAGUUGAACAGCUUAAAACAUAAGUUGGAAGAUGGGAGUAGAGGAUGGUAGAGCAGAAAGAUAUAAGGAUUCUGGGACUGUGAAGUCACCAAGGCAGUUGUGGAUCAUCUAACAGGGUUUAUAUGCAAGAACAAGGAAAAUACUCAGGUCUUGUUGAAGUCACCAUUAAUUGAAGAUGAGGAAAAUUCACAUAAUCAUAUUAAUAGUUAUCAUCUUGGCACCAUGGAAUCAAGUGAUUUCCACAGUACUGGCUAAGAGAUGCCCUUGGAUAAUAAAUAGCCCAGGAUGAUAAUCUAUUUGCACGGGUACAAGACUAUCCUUAUCCCUUUUUAUUUAAUUACAACCAAUAACUGAAUAAGUAGAUGAAUAUUAGAAAAAAUAUAUGAAUGAACUCACGGCCCUCCAAUCCCAUCUAUUUCAGAACAAUACAAUUUAACUUUCUCCCAGGAGUUUCUCAGAAUUAAGUGUAAAUCAUGUAUAUUUUAGCAAUAAGGAGUGUUAGAAAAAACACAGGGCUGAGAAUUAAGGGAGCUGGAUUUUGCCCUGUUCCUUCUUGGGUAAACUAUGUGCCUAUGAAAAUUCACUUUGUAUGCACUUUAGUUUAUUUCUCUAUAUGAUACACAUCAUAACAUCAACACUUCUGUAGCAUAAAAAGUUGUUUAUACAGUAAUAGGUAUGUAAGUAUCUUCAAAAGUUAAAAUUUAGAAAAUUUGUAAGGUAUUUCUAUAGUUUCACUGAGAGAUGAUGUUGACUCAGAGGUUCCAUGGAAGAGAACUACCUAUGGAUGUUUCAGAAACCAAAAGGCUGCUGAUGUGCCAGUUGGCAGGACAUCAUACUGGGACUGAGAAUAUGCAUUUAUGCACUUGGGUCUGCCAUUCACACCUGCCCCCAACCCAAUCCCUGCCCUCUGUGAAGAGACACAGCAUCCUAUUCAUCACAGUCUUUGCAUGCCGCCAAGAAUGUGCUGCUGCUUCCAUCCAUUGAAACAGGCGGUUGGUUGGCAAAGCCAUCAGACACCUGUUGAGGCUGAGUCAUCCCUAUUCACAGGAUGUGCCUCACAGCUUGGGUGGAGCGUGUUCAGUAAAGGAUGGGAGGCCUGGCGAGCCCAAUCUGGUGCAGCUGAUGCUCUCAUUCAUUGGCAGUUUUGAGGGGAAACCAGAGAGCCACGGUCUAAUUUCACUUACUCCUCAUCUUCUCUUUGACAGAUGGAUGUUUGCAGUGGAGUGGUCAUGCACAUGCAUUCAGGCUCAGGAAACUUAGAAAGAACUGUGUUGGGCUUGAAGGACAUCAACCAUUUCACGGAUAUUAAAAUGAGUGGUGGUGGCAUUGACACAGUGCCUGUUUAGAUCCCUGACAAUUUUUUCUAGCAUAUGCAGCUUUGUUACCAUGGUUUCUUAAUUUAAGAUCCAGGUGGUUAUGUCAAUUCCAGAACUGACCAGUGGCUUUGUAGAUGAAAAUUAGUUCCACAAGUCAAGAAACUCUUGAUCCUAGCUGAUACUUAUGUAAUUUGUUAAAGUAAUCUAUGACUAUUGGAGUUUUUACAGGAACCAAAUGAUCAUCUAUAUUGAAGCUUCUAGAGCAGUCUAAAUAAUUAACCCUUUCUUUCAGUUGCAGCUCCAGAAUUUCUAUAUAGAAAGGGUUUAGAAGCUGCAACACACAUAAAAAGGGAGAGGUAGCAUCUUGAAAAUGAGUUUCCUAUGGGUUUUACAAAAUAUUGAGAGACAUGCAUUUCUAAGGAUGCUGAGCAGGUGAUGGCCACCCAGAUCCUUACUUUACAACUGGAGCUACUUUUCUCUCUUUGCAUAUUGAAUUAUCUAAAACACAGAAACAGAAAUAAUAUAGGAAAAAAUAGCCUUGUUACUAAGUAAGACUAGAGUAUUUUGGAACUGGGUUCAAAAUAAACCUUUCUUCUGCUUUUCUGCUGAAUUAAACUCACCAGCCCAGUCACAGGCACAGUAGUAACACUACAGGGUUUUUCUGAUGAAACUGAUGUCUACAUUGGUCUACAAUGUAGUCUACACUGGUCAGCUUAGCUUAUGGAGGAGAGUGUCUUGUCUGCAGGCAACCAGAUCCCAUAAAAGAGAGCCAAGAGAAGUCAUAAAGUGACUGUUUUUAAAAUCUCUAAUUUCUCUUUUGGAGGAAAAUUCAUCAGAGGUAAAGAGAAGAGCAGAAAAUAUCAACUCAGUAUUUGCAAAAGGGUAGAAGCUCCUAUUUUAUAGGCCAGCAGUACUGUUGGGAAAGAAAAUACACAACUCCUUACAGUGACCAGGCUUAAACAAAAUGGCUGGGGUGAGAUAGGAGAGUAGGAAAAGCCCUGGAUUUGGAGCCAGAUGCAACUAAGUUUGAAUCCUGGGUCAACUGUUUACCAGAUAUAGACAAAUCUCUUCAUCUGUGAAUGCCUCAGUUUUCUUUCCAACAGAAUGAGGGUGCUGAGACUCCAAGGUUUCCUGCAGAGCAAUAGACUGAGAGGUUGUGUGGAUGAGAGUCUUGGCUCUGGAACCAGAAGGACCUCCUUUUUUUUUUUUUUUUUUUUUUUUUUGAGACAGGGUCUCACUCUGUUGCCCAGGUUGGAGUGCAGUAAUGCUAUCUUGGCUCACUGCAACCUCCAUCUCCAGGGCUCAAGCAAUCCUCCUGCCUUAGCCUCCCAAGUAGCUGGGACUACAGGCACCUGCCACCAUGUCUGGCUAAUUUUUGUAUUUUUGUAGAAGUGGGAUUUCCCCUGAACUCCUGGGUUCAAGCAAUCCAUCUGCCUGCCUAGGCCUCCCAAAGUGCUGGGAUUACAGGUGUGAGCCCCCACACCUGGCCAGUACCUACAUUUGUUUAGUAAUGGCUCUAAUGUUCACCAAAAGUCAGGUUUUGCAUUUGCAAAAUAGGGUUGAUAUCUAUUUUACAGGUGAAUUUGGGGUAGCUACUGAGAGACUACACAUGAAGAAUUUUGUAUGAUAAGCACUAAGUAAAUUUCAUUUUAAAAGACCCAAAGAAUUGCUGUUAAAUUUUAUUAAAUAAUUGUCAAAUUAUGAAAUUUAGUGUAUUUAUCUAUUAGGGCAAAUGCUAAAACAAGACAAAUUAGGGUUUGCUUAUCUAAUAAUUUCUAGGGCUUUAAGUAUAGCAGGGGCUAUUUUCACCUAUCAUUUCCAACAUUUAUCCUUCAAAGUAAUGUUGGGUCUUCCAAAUCUGAAGAUAAACUGAAUUAUGUUAUAAAAUAUCUGUGCAUGGCAUACAACCAAAAGCUGCAUCCAGGUCAGAAAGAAUAAUGAUAGUAGAUCAGAUAGGAGUAAUCAAGCUUACUGAGGAAUUUUAUCUAUGUUAUUCAAUUUAUUCCUUUCAAAUAGGACUUGAGUUCACAACUAUUAAUUGAAAGGGGACGUUUGAAUAAAGUCCAUGAUUUUUAUGUUUUUAAAUAGAACACUCAUGAGAAAUAUAAAUGCAUAAAACAGUUAGAAGUGGAGAUGCUCUUUGGAAGUUUCUGGUUCCCCAACUUCCUCAUAUUCUCCCUCCUCUAGCAAUGACAAGGAUGCCCUAAGCUCUAUGAAACUGCGAGAUAAACAUCUACCAGGUUGAUAUCAUAUCACUCAAAAGCAAAAUUUAUUCCUCAGGUCUCUUCACAGCGUGGCGCCUGGGUUCCAAGGGGAAUCAUCCCAAGAGAGAACCAGGGAGAAACUGUAUCCACCUGCAAGAUCUAACAUCAGAAGUCAUAUAGAACACCAUUCCCUACUCUUAGCUAAGGAAGUCACAGAGAUCUGACUCCCUUCCUUCAAGGGAGGGAACCAUAGACUCUACUUGUGGGACUGGCUGGGUUCUGAUAGAAUAUGGACAUAUGACUUCAGCCAUUUUUGGAAAUUAUACUGUGCCACACCUUAACGUGUCAGAAGACGAGGACACUGUCAUAACUUUCAGUCAAUUGCUCAAACCAAAUAUCAAAGUAUUAUCCUGAAUAUGCCUCCUUUUAUUUUACACUCACGUCUGUUUAAUCAGAAAAUCCCAUCAACUCAAAACAUACCACAAACAUGUGUUUUUCUUCCUCAUGUUUAGGACAACCAUCCUCAUCCUGGGUGACAUCCUCUCUCUCCUAGUUGGCUUCAGGAACCUCCUAAUUGAUUACCAUCUUCUCUGUUCUUUUGUCCCUACACUCCAUUCUCCAUAUGACAAUUAGGAUAAUCAUUUUAAAGCAUAACUCAGAUGAUAGCCUUCCCUGCUUAACAAAACCUCCAAUGACAAAGUGGAUCACAGCCUAGUGAUAAAGUGGAGUAAUUCACCAGAAAGAUAUAAAAAUUCUAAAUGUCAAUGAAUCUAAUAUCACAAGGACAAAAUAUGCAAAGCAAAAACUGACAAAAUUGAUUUGAUAAUUCCACACUCAUAAAUGGAGACUUUUUUCAUAACCUUCUCAGAAAUUGAUAGAUCAGGCAGAGGAAGAAUGUUAAUGCCGUGUAUCUUAAUGGAUUACUGGCGGGCUGAGGCACUCCUCCCCUCAGCCCAUGGUCUGUCUCUCGCCUUAAGCAGUCUCAUCUGAAUUAUUAUGUUUAUGCAUAUUUUAUGCAUAUUGAAAAAGAUUGGGAAUCACUGCCUCAGACUACCUCUCAAACAAUAAGGCAUACCAGAAUGUUCAUUGUGGCAGUGUUUUGUGAUAGUAAACAUUUUGAAAAAAAAAUCAAAAUACUGAUUUGCAAUAGAAUGGAAAACAAAAUUGUUGCAUUACAUACAACAAAAUCAAUAUGGAUACAUCUCACAAAUAUAAUAUUGAAGAAAAAAGUUGCAGAAAACAUUCAAUAUGAUGUUAUAUAUGUAAAUGUUACAAAUUUGCCAAACAAUAUUGUAAUUAUUCAAGGAUGCUUACAUGUGCUCUAAAAAUAUGAAGACAGGAAGAGUAAUGAAAGUCAUCAAAUUCAUGUUAGAGGUUAUGUCUUGGAAAGAUGAUGGGAGCAAAAAAGUGAUGAAGAGAAUAUAGUAAUGGAAUCAUGAGGAAAAUAAAAUAGGUUAUUUUUAAUAUUUCUCUUCUUAAAGGGCAAUGGCAUAUAUAUUGUUAUUAAAUUAUUUCUUAUACAUUUUGUACAUACGAAAAAAUAGAAAAAAUCAAAACUGUAGCUCCGAGCUUAUAAAAGCACAUUCACACGUGUGCACAAAAGACAAACAUAACAGACACACACCCCUCUAGUAGCUUCCCACCAGAUUCCUUCUUCUGAUUAACAAAGCACACAUUCUAUGACCUCUGCCUACCUCUCAGAUCAAAUAUCACACCACUCUUCUCAUGCCAGUUCAUCAAGAUCCUCUCUUAGGCCAAGCUUAGUUCUGCCUUUGAGUGUGCUUUCCCUUGUUCGACCAAUGCCUUACCAAUUAGAACUCAGUAUAAAUGUCACUCUCUCAAACACCCUCCCAUGAAUGCCCAAACUGAAGUAUUUGCUGCCAUUCUUAUUACUUUGCCCUCACUUAGACUUACUUCUUCUCAUAAUGUAUUCAUUUAUUCAUAAUUGAAUAGACUCAUUGAUUUCUUCUUGUUUGAGACACUCCCACCCUGCCAUGUCUAGUGUUGGAGCUCCAGGGGAGUGGAGACCUUAUCUGUUUGCUCCCUACUGGCCCCCAGUACCUGGAAGAGGUCUCAUCCAUUGAAGACAGACAACAAGUGUGUGUUGAGCUGCUAUAGAAAUGAACAUACACUAGAAAACUACUGGGAAAAAAAUACAACCUAAUAUUAUUAAGUUGUUAGUGUUACUUUCAUGUUAAGACAAUUGAAACACCAUAUUAUUUUACAUUUUUAAAAGUUUAUGUCCUAGUUUGCUAUGUAUUAGCACAGAGGUCUUACAUAAGUCACUUUACUUCUGCUAAUUUUUGUAUGUAAAUUUUAGAAGGCAUUCAAACUUGGCCAUUCUCAGUUCCCAGUUGAGAUGUGCACAUUUUCCUCUCACCUUUGAAAGGUGAGAAACACUCAUUAGAAAAUUACCUGAUGCCCAGACCAUUCACCCACUUUAUCUCCAGAGGACAUACCUCCUGUUACUUGUAUUUCUCAAUGUUUAAUCACAUGUGAUUCAUCUUGUCUGCAGUUUUACUCUAUUGGUGUGGGCUGGUCCUACUCAUGUACUUGAGUAGUCAGCUCAUAUCAGCUCUACUGAGAAGCUUUCUGUAUUCUAUGGCACCCUAAUCUUACUUUAACUCAAAGUUGGUUUAGUUAUCCCUCCUCUGAAUCUCUGAACUCAUAUCAACUCCCUACAUUUUUCUCUGUCAUAGCACUUAUUUUAUUGUUUGUUGUUUAAUAAACCUUGAGAAGUUAAUAAACUUUUAUAUGAAAUACAAAGGUUUCCCUCAAAGAAGAACUCUAUGUUGUAAAACUUCUGGCCCUUGAUCUCUACAAAAGCACAGACAUAAAAGUGAAAAAAAAGUGUGUUUUCCAACUGAAUCUUUCCAUCUCUAAGCCAUACUUGCAUCCAAGUCAUCUAAGAAAGACAGUUAAUUACAUCUUCAAAACUUUGUAAAAGAGCAGUAAGAGGUCCUACAUUUGGAAAAAUUAGAGCCAUUAUAUUGUAACUUUCAAGUUCAGUAAGUUCUUUCUAAAAGCUAACUGCAGUAUUUCAAAGUUAGUGUUGCGCAGUCUCUUUGACCUAACUUUCUGGGUUUAGUCAUGGUCCUGCUAAUCAGUAGCUGUUGUGACCUUAGGCAAGUUCCUUAAUCUCUCUGUGCAAAAUGGAUGAUUCUCAACAAGAAUGUUGGGAAAAUGAAAGAUCUCCUGCAUGUACAGCGCUUAGAGUUCUGCCCAGAACAGAGAAAACAGCAUGUAUGUGUCAGCAAUAAAAACUCUUCGCUUAUUAGCUUCAAGACAUUGGCUUUGACCUUUGUGGUCACAAAGAGUUGGUCAACUUCACUCCUAGUUCACAUAAGAUUUUAAGCAACUUGACUAAAUCUCUUGUAUCUGUUUUUCCCAGGCUCAGGAUAUUUCUUCAUAAUGCCAGCAAUACUUGAGGACUAAUUGUGGUUGCAUACUUUGUGGUAAAUAAUUCCUUUUAUAAUUUUCCAGUAAAUUUUCAGUUGCUUUGACUAGGUUGGCCAAGGACACCACAAAUCUGACCCUUAACUACCUUUCUACUCUCACCUCUCUUCACUUCUCCCCUUAUGGCCUGUGCAAUUCAAUUG
rnacentral:lncRNA from 10 species